rnacentral:rRNA from 1 species
AGCGAACGCUGGCGGCAGGCCUAACACAUGCAAGUCGAACGAACCUUUCGGGGUUAGUGGCGGACGGGUGAGUAACACGUGGGAACGUGCCUUUAGGUUCGGAAUAACUCAGGGAAACUUGUGCUAAUACCGAAUGUGCCCUUCGGGGGAAAGAUUAAUCGCCUUUAGAGCGGCCCGCGUCUGAUUAGCUAGUUGGUUGAGGUAAUGGCUCACCAAGGCGAAGAUCAGUAGCUGGUCUGAGAGGAUGAUCAGCCACAUUGGGACUGAGACACGGCCCAAACUCCUACGGGAGGCAGCAGUGGGGAAUCUUGCGCAAUGGGCGAAAGCCUGACGCAGCCAUGCCGCGUGAAUGAUGAAGGUCUUAGGAUUGUAAAAUUCUUUCACCGGGGACGAUAAUGACGGUACCCGGAGAAGAAGCCCCGGCUAACUUCGUG